rnacentral:tRNA from 1 species
GCCACUUUAGCUCAGUCGGUAGAGCAGCGCAUUCGUAAUGCGCGGGUCGGGGGUUCGAGUCCCCUGAGUGGCUCAA